rnacentral:tRNA from 2 species
GGUCCCAUCGUCUAGUGGCCCAGGACGCCGGCCUCUCACGCCGGAAACACGGGUUCGAUUCCCGUUGGGACUACCA